rnacentral:lncRNA from 1 species
CCAUCAUCGGUUCUCUUUUCAGAGCAGUUCAGCCGACCGGACAUCACUAGUCUAUUGGCGUAAACACGAGCUUUAACUCCCCCAUCUGGCGCACAAAACGUUGUAAAUUCUAAUAGUAAUUUCGGAUAAGAUUGCUACAACAAAUAAAUAGCGCUCUUUGUUGUUAUUAUGGAUGGCGUGUCAUAAAGUGAAAUGCUUAAACUCGGCAUGCUCUGUUUUUCUUUUUGGAAAAAAGAAACCGUGAUAUUCUGUCUUCUGCUUUUGUCUUCUAUCAUCUGCGUCAGAAUAUUAGAUUUCCUAUACACAAUUCUGAGCGAUUGAAGCUGUGGUUGCUCGCGCUGCACUUGGAUAUCAACACACCCGAACAUGCUCUGAUAUUUAAGAGAGUGUGCAGUGAUCAUUUUUUCGACGAUGAUUUCAAACCCUCCCAGCAAGGAAAUCGUCAUUUUCUGAAAGCGUCGGCUGUGCCCAAUACGUUUUACAGCAAACAGAGGUAUGUAUGUUUUUUUACUAUAUUAGAUGCAUUAACGUUUUUUUUCUCGUCAGUGUGUUUCAUAACGUGUGAAUGUUUAUUUAUUACUAAUGUCUUCCUGUUACUAAUGACGUGUUAAAAUGUAUUUUUUUUUACUCCUAAGUAUCCGUCUCGUGGAAAUCUAGAGUCCCUAGCAAAAGACAAUGACGCUGAGCUGGAGGUCCAGGGAGCAGGAGUGUUUUUGGCUAAUGUUCCACAGUCAACACCAGCAAACGUCUCAGGUUACUUGUGUAACCAUGGUUCCCUGAGUAGGGAACGAGACACUGCGUCCUCUAGGGGUCGCUAUGGGGAACGCCUCGUCGUGACCCGUGUCUGAAGCAUACAUUGAAAACACA